CUUGGCGACAAAGUGUGAGAAAUAUCGUUUCCGUCUGCUCUGAGCGGCAUCGGCGACACUCAUUAUUUCCAGCGACGGGACGCGCCCCGUCAGUCGGCCCGGAGGCCAAGGCCGACCAACCGGCGGCGGCUCGCUCGGUUCCUAUCUCGCUGACCUCCACCGUUCGCCCACAGCAAAAACACUCGGCGAGGGUUAAGCAUGUAGUGGUAGACAGGGAAGGUAGAUCGUGAAAAACUGAACGUGGGAUCAGAUAAUGGGUUGACGACACACCAAGGGCAAACGACUGUCGGAGAGGUAUAAAACGGGCGCCAGACGCAGCAGCGACACACUCACACAGUCCACACCACACUCAACAACAUCCACUCUCCAACACUACACUCGACAUGCACACCCUGCCUGCUGUCGUGGAGCUGACGAGAAAGGCCAUUGGCACGACUUGGCAGCUGCAGACUGUUCUUUCGGCAUUUCCGGCUUCAAUAUCAGCCUGCUGCUCGAGUGCGAAAGCAGCUCGUGCGGGACUGAUUUUCGGACUUCUUUCGGUUCUUUACAUCGGCCUGCCCGAGUGCCUCAGCAACUCCUGCAGGACUGAUUUUCAGCCUUGUUUGAUCGUUUCUUUAUUUACUUGGCUUCAGUCUCAUCUUUCGGCGCAUUUCAAUAUAUCUGCUUUUUGUUC